rnacentral:rRNA from 1 species
CAACAAAGAGAGGCGAAACCGCGAGGUGGAGCGAAUCUCAAAAAGCCGUCCCAGUUCGGAUUGCAGGCUGCAACCCGCCUGCAUGAAGUUGGAAUCGCUAGUAAUCGCGGAUCAGCAUGCCGCGGUGAAUACGUUCCCGGGCCUUUGUACACACCGCCCGUCACACCAUGAGAGUCGGGAACACCCGAAGUCCGUAGCCUAACCGCAAGGGGGGCGCGGCCGAAGGUGGGUUCGAUAAUUGGGGUGAAGUCGUAACAAGGUAUC